rnacentral:lncRNA from 1 species
UAUCGAUGCUGUUGGCUUACAUCACUCCUAGAAACGUAAGUGUCGUAUUUGUGUGAAUUUUUUGUUCGCUUUCUGAAAAAAAAAGAUAAAAGAAAAGAUUCCUUCAUUAAUUUUAGAAUGGUCAACAAACUCAACGGCCGGAAGAAGAGGCAACUCUCUUGCAAGGACGGCCUCCUCGCCUUCGUGUUCGGUAGGGUUUUGUGCGGCUGCCACGACAAGGACUUCAUUAAUGAUAGUCUGUGGCAAGUGAUGCAUGUGUGAUGACACUGUGCACAGUCACGGUGGCGGUCUUCUUAUAGGUAACGUGCAUGGAGUGUGUAUGGAUAGCCGGUCAUGUUAGUUGUUCAUUUCCUGGAUGCGUUCAUAGACAUGUUGUAAUGGUUUUUCACCAAGUUUUCUGCUGUUAAUUGGGCAAUUUUCUGAUGGAUUGAGAGUUUUGGACACCGUUAAAAAAAUAGCCGAGUAGUCUACCUUACGUAUCACGCUCUCAUUGUUUUUAGCU